UGGGGAAUAUUGGACAAUGGGCGAAAGCCUGAUCCAGCCAUGCCGCGUGUGUGAGGAAGGUCUUCGGAUUGUAAAGCACUUUAAGUUGGGAGGAAGGGCAUUAACCUAAUACGUUAGUGUUUUGACGUUACCGACAGAAUAAGCACCGGCUAACUCUGUGCCAGCAGCCGCGGUAAUACAGAGGGUGCAAGCGUUAAUCGGAAUUACUGGGCGUAAAGCGCGCGUAGGUGGUUUGUUAAGUUGGAUGUGAAAUCCCCGGGCUCAACCUGGGAACUGCAUUCAAAACUGACUGACUAGAGUAUGGUAGAGGGUGGUGGAAUUUCCUGUGUAGCGGUGAAAUGCGUAGAUAUAGGAAGGAACACCAGUGGCGAAGGCGACCACCUGGACUAAUACUGACACUGAGGUGCGAAAGCGUGGGGAGCAAACA
rnacentral:rRNA from 1 species